CAUGCCAAUGCUAGAUCAAGAGAAUACAUGAGCGCACGCGCAAUCCUUUCGACCAAGAAUGAGCAUGUGGAUGACCUAAAUGUCAAGAUGAUCUCCAGGUUUCCAGGCAAAGAAAGGUUGUACCAUAGCUUCGACUCAACCGAGGAUGACUUGCACAAUAAUUACACUAUUGACUUUUUGAACUCGAUCACACCUAAUGGCUUGCCACCGCAUGUUUUGCGAUUAAAGGUCAAUUGCCCGGUCAUUUUGCUCCGGAACCUCGACCCUCAUAAUGGCCUAUGCAAUGGAACGCGGCUAAUGAUCAGAGCCUUCCAGGAUAAUGCAAUAGAUGCAGAGAUUGUUGGUGGUCAGCAUGCUGGAAAAAGGGUAUUCAUACCUAGGAUCCCUAUGUCGCCUUCGGAUGACAUCUCACUUCCGUUCAAACUCAAGAGAAAACAGUACCCCAUCCGGCUGAGUUUUGCGAUGACCAUCAACAAGGCACAGGGUCAGACCAUACCAAACGUCGGUAUUUACCUUCCCGAGCCUGUAUUCUCACAUGGACAGCUCUAUGUUGCACUGUCAAGGGGAGUGUCAAGAAAAACGACACGGAUUUUGGCCAAGCCAAACAAUGAGGUUGAUAAAUCCGGUAAAAGCACCAAAAACAUUGUCUAUCGAGAUGUUUUAGAGGGGUGAAGCAGGUUUUGUUCAUACCGAAGUAUGCAAGCAUUAAAGAGGAAUGAUGUCGAUGAAGGAUAUAAACGAGCCACUAUUGUUUCUUACAACUCACCAGAUCUGUAUAUAUAAUAUCCCCCUUAAUAUGCAUUCUUCGCUUUAUAUCUUGUAGCUGAAUGUAUUUGGCGAUGGUUUUUAAUAGCUACAGAUACACUUUAUUUGUGUUCCUUCUUUUUGUAGCCAAGAUAAGAACUUAACAAA